rnacentral:rRNA from 1 species
UUGGAGGGCAAGUCUGGUGCCAGCAGCCGCGGUAAUUCCAGCUCCAAUAGCGUAUAUUAAAGUUGUUGCAGUUAAAAAGCUCGUAGUUGAACCUUGGGCCUGGCUGGCCGGUCCGCCUCACCGCGUGUACUGGUCCGGCCGGGCCUUUCCUUCUGGGGAACCUCAUGCCCUUCACUGGGCGUGUUGGGGAACCAGGACUUUUACUUUGAAAAAAUUAGAGUGCUCCAGGCAGGCCUAUGCUCGAAUACAUUAGCAUGGAAUAAUAGAAUAGGACGUGUGGUUCUAUUUUGUUGGUUUCUAGGACCGCCGUAAUGAUUAAUAGGGACAGUCGGGGGCAUCAGUAUUCAAUUGUCAGAGGUGAAAUUCUUGGAUUUAUUGAAGACUAACUACUGCGAAAGCAUUUGCCAAGGAUGUUUUCAUUAACCAGGAACGAAGGUUAGGGGAUCGAAGACGAUCAGAUACCGUCGUAGUCUUAACCAUAAACUAUGCCGACUAGGGAUCGGACGGUGUUAUUUUUUGACCCGUUCGGCGCCUUACGGGAAAC